UUUCUGCUUCUCGGGCUCUGGGAGGGCGGCAGCGGAGAAGCCGGGAGAGGUGGGAGCUGGAGCGGGAGGGGGUGAGGCCUCUUCCCCCAGGCGAAAGGGCUGAACGAAGAUAGGAAGAGCAGGUAAAGCCCCCGCCAAAAAAAAAAAAAAAAA